GCAGGGAUAGCAAAGCCUGGUCAAAUGCGACGGGUUCAGGGCCCGCUCCCUUAGGGGUUCGAGAGUUCAAAUCUCUCUCCCUGCA
rnacentral:tRNA from 1 species